UACGUAGGGGGCAAGCGUUGUCCGGAAUCAUUGGGCGUAAAGCGCGUGUAGGCGGUCCGGUAAGUCCGCUGUGAAAGUCCAGGGCUCAACCCUGGGAUGCCGGUGGAUACUGUCGGGCUAGAGUACGGAAGAGGCGAGUGGAAUUCCCGGUGUAGCGGUGAAAUGCGCAGAUAUCGGGAGGAACACCAAUUGCGAAGGCAGCUCGCUGGGACGUUACUGACGCUGAGAUGCGAAAGCGUGGGGAGCAAACAGG
rnacentral:rRNA from 1 species